AAGAUGGCGACCGGCGCACGGGUGAGUAACACGUAUCCAACCUGCCGAUAACUCCGGGAUAGCCUUUCGAAAGAAAGAUUAAUACCGGAUGGCAUACGAAUAUCGCAUGAUAUUUUUAUUAAAGAAUUUCGGUUAUCGAUGGGGAUGCGUUCCAUUAGUUUGUUGGCGGGGUAACGGCCCACCAAGACUACGAUGGAUAGGGGUUCUGAGAGGAAGGUCCCCCACAUUGGAACUGAGACACGGUCCAAACUCCUACGGGAGGCAGCAGUGAGGAAUAUUGGUCAAUGGGCGAGAGCCUGAACCAGCCAAGUAGCGUGAAGGAUGAAGGCUCUAUGGGUCGUAAACUUCUUUUAUAUGGGAAUAAAGUUUUCCACGUGUGGAAUUUUGUAUGUACCAUAUGAAUAAGGAUCGGCUAACUCCGUGCCAGCAGCCGCGGUAAUACGGAGGAUCCGAGCGUUAUCCGGAUUUAUUGGGUUUAAAGGGAGCGUAGGUGGAUUGUUAAGUCAGUUGUGAAAGUUUGCGGCUCAACCGUAAAAUUGCAGUUGAAACUGGCAGUCUUGAGUACAGUAGAGGUGGGCGGAAUUCGUGGUGUAGCGGUGAAAUGCUUAGAUAUCACGAAGAACUCCGAUUGCGAAGGCAGCUCACUAGACUGUUAC
rnacentral:rRNA from 1 species